CGGCGUGAUUACAAACAGGGGCGUCUAUGAGUCGACAGGCCGCACAAUCGAUGUGGACUCUUGUCCCCCGUGUCUGA
rnacentral:snoRNA from 1 species